rnacentral:snoRNA from 1 species
GUGCUGCCUUUGAGCUCCUGGCACCCCUCUUUGUGGCACUGGGGGCUAAGCUGCUGUAUUGUAGCAGUUCCUGGUGCAUAAUUGGGGCUGCCUUCCCAUCUCAGGCANCCCUUUUAACCCCUAGCUACAGGG